rnacentral:rRNA from 1 species
CCUACGGGUGGCAGCAGUAGGGAAUCUUCCACAAUGGGCGAAAGCCUGAUGGAGCAACGCCGCGUGGGUGAAGAAGGUCUUCGGAUCGUACAACCCUGUUGUUAGAGAAGAAAGUGCGUGAGAGUAACUGUUCACGUUUCGACGGUAUCUAACCAGAAAGCCACGUCUAACUACGUGCCAGCAGCCGCGGUAAUACGUAGGUGGCAAGCGUUAUCCGGAUUUAUUGGGCGUAAAGGGAACGCAGGCGGUCUUUUAAGUCUGAUGUGAAAGGCUUCGGCUUAGCCGGAGUAGUGCAUUGGAAACUGGGAGACGUGAGUGCAGAAGAGGAGAGUGGAAGUCCAUGUGUAGCGGUGAAAUGCGUAGAUAUAUGGAAGAACACCAGUGGCGAAAGCGGCUCUCUGGUCUGUAACUGACGCUGAGGUUCGAAAGCGUGGGUAGCAAACAGGAUUAGAUACCCUUGUAGUC